UGUCGUCCUGCAAUUAAACAGCGAGAGGGUGAAAAAUCAACAGAUUGAUGAGGAGACUAAAGUUUACUCUGCUGUGGUCUUCACCAUGAGGAAAGAUAACCGUGGUGCAGUGAAGGAUGCAAAAGUAGCGCAGAGGAAAAGGAUGUGUGCUGCUGUGAAGGAUUUUGGUUUGAAUUAGUGAGUGAAAAGGUCUGUUUGGCUACAUGUGAUUUAGCUGAUUUAGUUUGUUUAAAGCUUAAGAAAAUGCUGAUUACCUCCAAAUAUCUACACUUAGAUAACUUAAGGAGGUGCUAUGAAUAUUCUAUCACUCAGGUUGUGACUGUAUUGGUAUGUGUAUGCAAAUGAUAUUCUAUAAUUCAUAAUAAAAUGUAUUUGUCAAACCUCCUUGGAUUAAAGGACUGUAACAUUCAGGCUUA